rnacentral:rRNA from 1 species
GAUGAACGCUGACAGCAUGCCUAACACAUGCAAGUCGAUGGGGAAGUGGUGCUUGCUCCUUGGUUACCAUGGCGGACGGGUGAGUAACGCGUAAGGAACUUGCCUGCGGGACUGGGAUAACAGCAGGAAACUGCUGAUAAUACCGGAUAAGGUCAUUAAGCUGCAUAGCUUAGUGAUGAAAGGAGACGCCUGCGGAGAGCCUUGGGUCCUAUUAGCUAGUUGGGAGGGUAACGGCCCACCAAGGCGAAGAUAGGUAGCCGGCCGGAGAGGGUGGACGGCCACAAGGGGACUGAGAGACGGCCGUUACUACUACGGGAGGCAGCAGUGGGGAAUAUUGGACAAUGGGGGCAACCCUGAUGCAGCAAUUCUGUGUGCACGAAGACGGUUUUCGGAUUGUAAAGUGCUUUCAGCAGGGAAGAGGGAAGUGACGGUACCUGCAGAAGAAGCGACGGCUAAAUACGUG